ACGAGCGAUGAGACUUUCAUGGAAUUUUGCAUCAACGACACUGUGAUAUUUAACAGAUUUAUAAUCUUAACGCAGCGGAUAUAUUCAAAUUUCAUUUAUUGUGACGAAAUUUUCGUGAGUGCCAAGUGGAAUGCAUAACCUGGCGUGAAAUGUGGAAUGAGAACAUCUGUGAAUGUGGACUCCUGUUAUAUAGACGAAAAAUUAUAGCUAACAGGAAACAGCGAAAGGGAGUCUCAAAUCAAACAUUCACAGCGUAAUGAACAAACGAUAUUGACAGAGGACCCGGGGAAUAACAAAAGAUGCUCAACUGGCUUUACUUGGCCAGACAGGAAAUUCGUCAAAUCAACAUCGGCGAGCAGCAUGAUUUUAAUAAUAAUACGAUUCUACGUCUAAGAAUGGAAGACAACCGAACCAGGCAACUUUCAGAUUCGAUUCCUCGGGACAGACAAUCCUUCUCUGUGCUGGUUCACCCAGAACGGGUUAUAUUCUCCUCCGGAUGAAUUUUACACAGAGGCUGUUACGUGUGGCGAGUACCUGUUCCUGGAACACGACAUUUCUUGGGGGCGAACUUUCUGGGACAACGGGCGUACAUCUUUCAGGGAGACGUUGCCAUUUCUCUUGGCGCGGUUAAAGGAAUACUUCUGUCCUGAAACAACUGCUGUGAAAUUAAAGACACGAUAGAAAUGUGUCGCUGUGUUUCCAGGUUUUUAACUUAGCUGCGUCGAUGUCGUAUUUAUUGGCAGAAAGCUAUCGAGUGAGAAUACGUAAGAGAGUGAAUCUUUUAAUGACGAGAUUGAGAAGAGAAAUAAUAACAAAUUUAAUAUUAAUUGGUGAUAAUAUUAUAUCGAUAAAUAAGAAUAAUGACAACUUAUGGAACUAACUUUUGUGAAUGAUGAGAAAUUUGACGAGAAUUUGAAAUAGCUAUCAGUGUUUUAUAUCGUAUUGCGAUAUUGCAAUAUCGUAUUGUAUUGCAAAUCAUGGUAUGAUAAGAAAAUUGUAAUGAUAUGUAUUUUUCAAGCAAAUCUCUAUCUCUACCU
rnacentral:misc_RNA from 1 species